UAAGAAGGUGUCUAAGAUGUAUGUGGU
rnacentral:piRNA from 1 species